rnacentral:rRNA from 1 species
UGGGGAAUAUUGCACAAUGGGCGCAAGCCUGAUGCAGCCAUGCCGCGUGUGUGAAGAAGGCCUUCGGGUUGUAAGCACUUUCAGCGAGGAGGAAGGUGGUGAACUUAAUACGUUCAUCAAUUGACGUUACUCGCAGAAGAAGCACCGGCUAACUCCGUGCCAGCAGCCGCGGUAAUACGGAGGGUGCAAGCGUUAAUCGGAAUUACUGGGCGUAAAGCGCACGCAGGCGGUUUGUUAAGUCAGAUGUGAAAUCCCCGGGCUCAACCUGGGAACUGCAUUGAAACUGGCAAGCUAGAGUCUCGUAGAGGGGGUAGAAUUCCAGGUGGUAGCGGUGAAAUGCGUAGAGAUCUGGAGGAAUACCGGUGGCGAAGGCGGCCCCCUGGACGAAGACUGACCGCUCAGGUGCGAAAGCGU